rnacentral:lncRNA from 1 species
UUAUCGUUUUAAUCAUAAAGUUUCAUCUACCUUUACAAAGCUAACCGCCCGACUCGGUCUUGAGUCAAUCGUCUGUGGAGUACCGCACAAAGCCAGGCUCGAGGCGAAGGACGUCUCACUUGCACCUCAACCUAAUGUCCACUCUACUAGAACUCAACUACCGCUCAUGCCUAAUUUGCAUAAUUCUCGUGAGUACAUUACCCAAUUUACUGGCUAGCCAUCUCGAUUCGUAGGGAGCCGUUUUCGGGACCCCACAUAGGCCAUCCCUCGGGACUCAAACUAUGAAUCCGAGACCGUCUGCGGGACCCCACAUAGGCCAUCCCUUGGGACCCCAAAUAGGCCAUCCCUAUCCCACGGGACCCCAAAUAGGCCAUCCCACGUGACUAACUCCGGAGCGCACUACUUGUGUGGAGCGACCAUCACAAGCUGGGAACAGACAAUGAGUAUGAUCAAUUCUGUGUCCACGAGAAUAUCUUGUCACUAGGACCAUCAUGCACAGGUGUUCUUUUAACACUAAGCUCUAAUGCCACUCAUCAAGUUGUUUACAUUAACUAUAUGCCACUCGUCAUCAUGUAAGCAUUCUCAAUACUCUAUUUAUACACAAUCUCUAGGUUGACAUUUACCUAGGUCUUAUCCACAUUUAUCAUCCCAUUGUAGGACUCCAAACCAUACCAUUAUAUUAUUACUACACUUAUAUUUCCAAAUGACGGGUUUUCUAAUCAUCCAAGAGUUUUAGACCCAAGUCAACAUGCAUAUGUUAAUUAGCAUAUCUUACUCAACAUAGUCCACAAAUAUAUUGACAUGCAUAUGUUUCAACUUGCAUAAUAUAGCCUAUGUAUUCAUACAACAUCAUUUACAUGCAUUUCUCUAACAUUUAGUUCAUGCUUUCAUCUAACAUUCAACAUAUUAAUUUGUCAUUAUCAACUAGCAUGCAUCAUAUUCAUAUGCAAUUAUCAUGCAAUAUACGUUUCUCACAUUAUAUGCAUUUACCCAAUCUUCACAUCAUAUGCAUCAUAUAGCAUUUAACCCAUUAUAUGCAUCAACUAGGAAAUCAUAUUUUUCUUCGACAUGAUGGCGACCUAGUCGCUUCGGUAAGCACAACCCACCUGUUAGUGCAUUCCGAUUGCUUGUCGACACUUGCAAUCGGCCUCCCGCAGCAUCCGGUGCCCGGUUCCGUCGAAACUUGCAAUUGCGCACCAACCGUACAUCGCUUU